GAUGAACGCUGACAGAAUGCUUAACACAUGCAAGUCUACUUGAACUUCGGUUUGGGUGGCGGACGGGUGAGUAACGCGUAAAGAACUUGCCUCACAGUUAGGGACAACAUUUGGAAACGAAUGCUAAUACCUGAUAUUAUGAUUUUAGGGCAUCCUAGGAUUAUGAAAGCUAUAUGUGCUGUGAGAGAGCUUUGCGUCCCAUUAGCUAGUUGGAGGGGUAACGUCUCAACAAGGCGAUGAUGGGUAGCCGGCCUGAGAGGGUGAACGGCCACAGGGGGACUGAGACACGGCCCUUACUCCUACGGGAGGCAGGAGUGGGAAAUAUUGGACAAUGGAGCAGAAGUCUGAACCAGCAAUUCGGUGUGGACGAUGACGUUUUUCGGAAUGUAAAGUGCUUUCAGUUGGGAAGAAAAAAAUGACGGAACCAACCGAAGAAGUGACGGCUAAAUACGU
rnacentral:rRNA from 1 species